rnacentral:lncRNA from 1 species
CUGCAAUCAGUGCGCAUUGCUGCAUUUAGACUCUUUGAUGACUUAAAGAAAGGCUGUCUAAAUGGCAAAAGUAGCCGUGGACCAGGAAUUCGGGAAACACACGCAAGAAGCAAGCAGUGAUGAACUCAUCGGUUCAGGUUAGGCUGAGAUCGCUGCGGUUUACAGGGUCCGUCAGUAGCCUGUAGCCAAUGCUGUUGGCGAAGAGGAGCUACGGGGCUAACCGGUUGUU